CCAGACUCCUACGGGAGGCAGCAGUGAGGAAUAUUGGUCAAUGGGCGGAAGCCUGAACCAGCCAAGUCGCGUGAGGGAUUAAGGCCCUGCGGGUCGUAAACCUCUUUUGCCGGAGAGCAGUGGUCCGGACGCGUCCGGACCGGGAGAGUACCCGGAGAAAAAGCAUCGGCUAACUCCGUGCCAGCAGCCGCGGUAAUACGGAGGAUGCGAGCGUUAUCCGGAUUUAUUGGGUUUAAAGGGUGCGUAGGCGGGCAUUUAAGCCGGCGGUCAAAUGUCGGGGCUCAACCUCGUCGAGCCGUUGAAACUGGGUGCCCUGAGUGGGCGAGAAGUACGCGGAAUGCGUGGUGUAGCGGUGAAAUGCAUAGAUAUCACGCAGAACUCCGAUUGCUAAGGCAGCGUACCGGCGCCCAACUGACGCUGAAGCACGAAGGCGUGGGUAUCGAACAGGAUUAGAUACCCCUGUAACC
rnacentral:rRNA from 1 species